UCCCCUAGUAACUGCGAGUGAAGCGGGAAGAGCUCAAAUUUUGAAUCUGGCGGUCUUGUGGCCGUCCGAGUUGUAAUCUAGAGAAGCGUUUACCGCACUAGACCGUGUACAAGUCUCCUGGAAGGGAGCGUCAUAGAGGGUGAGAAUCCCGUCUUUGACACGGACUAAACUAGGGCUUCUGUGUAGCGCUCUCGACGAGUCGAGUUGUUUGGGAAUGCAGCUCAAAAUGGGUGGUAAAUUCCAUCUAAAGCUAAAUACAGGCGAGAGACCGAUAGCGAACAAGUACCGUGAGGGAAAGAUGAAAAGAACUUUGGAAAGAGAGUUAAACAGUACGUGAAAUUGCUGAAAGGGAAACGCUUGAUGUCAGUCAUGUCGGUCAGGGAUCAACCUUGCAUUUCAUGCUGGGUGUACUUCCUGGUCGACAGGUCAGCAUCAGUCUUGAUUCCAUCAUACAAGGGCAAAGGGAAUGUGGCACUCUUAGGAGUGUGUUAUAGUCUUUCGUCGUAUGUGGUGGUCGGGACUGAGGAACUCAGCAUGGUCUUCUGACUUGUGUUUAGGAUGCUGGCAUAAUGGGCCUUAAGCGACCCGUCUUGAAACACGGACCAAGGAGUCUAACAUGCCUGCGAGUGUUUGGGUGGAAAACCCGAGUGCGAAAUGAAAGUGAAAGUUGAGACCUCUGUCAUGGAGGGCACCGACGCCCGGACCUGAGUCUUUGACAA
rnacentral:rRNA from 1 species